GAGUAUCUAUAAAACUAAACUACCCCAAAUUUCACCAAUUUCUCCACCAUCGUAGCCGCAACUUGUCGUCGGUUACCCCACCCAACCCAACCUGCGUUUCAGCAGCUGUAGCAGCAGCAAAUGUCUGAGAAAGGAGGAAAAGGGUUUUCUCUGCCCAAAGCCUCCUUGAAAGGGAAGGAUGAUAGCUCAGCAAAGUCAAAGAGGCCCCGAAAAGUUCAGUUUGAUUAUAAAGAAUCACUAGAAUCCACAAUCAACUUAUCCUCGAAAUCUGGUGCAAAGGUUGGUUUGCCUAUUGGAAAAGAUUGGGGCAAAGGAGGAAAAGGAGACAAUGUUGCAAAUGGUGGUAAGAGUCCAGUGUCCAAAGAAUCUUCCACUCUGGAGCUCAAAGUUGAGCAAGAACUUCCAAAGAAUGCCAAAUGCCUGAUGGACUGUGAGGCGGCAGACAUUUUAGAAGGAAUCCAGGAGCAUAUGAUCAUACUAUCUGAAGAUCCAACAAUUAAAAUUCCUAUAGCAUUUGAUAGGGGACUGCAGUACGCCAAGACUGUUAGUCAUUAUACAAGUCCUCAAUCUGUUCGACAAGUGCUUGAGCCUCUCAAAAAACAUGGUGUUUCUGACAGUGAGAUGUGCUUGAUUGCUAACAUAUGUCCAGAGUCUGUGGAUGAAGUUUUUGCUCUAAUUCCAUCGUUGAAGGGUAAGAAAAACAAGCUGACAGAACCCCUCAAAGGUGCAUUGAGUGAACUAGCUAUUCUUAAACACUCGACAUGAAGUUCCAACAGCAGAGAUCCAUAGUAACAUAUGUUGUUAUUGCUUACAUGUGUGCUUUCUGAUAAAAUGUAAAACGGCUUCAAAUUCAUUCUGUGGUUCUGCUCAUGAUGCGGGCUUGGUAGAUUUGAAGUUGGGACCAAUCUUGUGAAGGAACUUUUGAGAAGGAAAACUUAACAGGGCAGGCGAUCUUCUUCUUCUUCUUCUUCUUGUAAUGCUUUUGUAAUGUGAUAGUUGUACUUGGUAUGCCUAUGACUUUUGAUUAGGAUGCUCUUAGAACCCUGGCCUGUGAGAAUUACUCCAUUAAGUACCCUUGCUUUGUGCAGGGAUUUGUUAAUGUACAUCAAGCAAUCUGGAACAGGGAAAUGCAUGUUACUGCAGGUUCUCUAUUUAGUGUGACAAAUAUGCUUUGCUAA